AAAAGAGGGGGCGCGUCAGAGGCGGCCGGGAGCCUCCCCACUCCUGACCCACACACGGGACUCUGGGGGCAGCGCCGGGGCAUGCAUGGAAGCCCCGGGGUCCUUCCCUGACCAGAAGGCUGACAGCCCGGGUGGAGGGAGCACUCGAGAUCCCUCCCCCUCAAGUUUCUAGAUGCUCUUUUCCCACUCCCACCCCACGUGGGGAACCCAGCUCAUCCGGAUCUGCAUGCUCGUAGCUUUCUCCACAGGAGGCUGAGAAGCCACCAAACACAGAGAGGGAUCUGAACGGCUGGGGAUACUUAGUGCCGAUCACAGGGCCCCGCUUCGUAUGCUUUGAAAUGCUUGUAUUUAAGUCAACUCUGUCCCCUCUCCUGGCAGAGUUUUCAGCUGAAGAUGACAUGAAGACGGUAACCUUCACAGCAGAACUAUGGCAAAUGCUACGAAAAAUGCGAGUAAUAGAUGCUCAGACAGACUGGGUAAGCCAUCAGUCCUGCUAAGUUGCAGCCUGUGCUAGUAACAGUGCUAGCAAAGGUAAGAACAAUGCACAGCAGCAGGAGAGAGACAUACUUGUAGAAAAGAAACGAAAUUUAUUUUGUAGUUGGUCAAGGCUGGUCUCAAAUAGAAGUUGUGUGUUAUUAGCUCUCCAAAGCGAUUGCCCAAGGAUAUGCGGACUUCCACAACCCAUUUUCUAUUAAUAAAACCCCUAAAUUGAGAGUAUUAAAAUCAACAGUUGAUUCUUAAUCAAAGAUGAAUGCUGCAAGCUGGCAAAACUGGCCAAGGGCCCAGAAGUCCUGAUUACCAUCAGUUGUGACUUCAAAGGCUCACUGUGCACAGGUGGAGACAAACUUUUUGGGGAGAGAACCCGGAAACCUUUAAGGUGGUAUUUUAAAAUAUUGCCAUGUGACUCCAAAAGCCAUUCAGCUCAGAAUAAGGCUUUUAUUCUAUUCUGGAGGUUAUAAUGUUACAGAACUACUCAGCAGGCUUGCAGCUUUAUGAGAACGGUUGGGUGUAGAUUAUUUUAUAUAUUAAGCACAUUGCUGGAAAAUUUGAAAUUGCAUUUCACCUAAUAUAUUUUAUGCUGUUCCAUCUCUCUUUUGAUGUUUUUCAGAAAAUGCUGCUAUGGCAUUCCCUGCAGUCCACGUUGCUAGGAGAGGAUGAAUUCAGGAGCUGUGGGCUUUCCAGACUUUCAGUCAGCCCCUGUCAACACCCCUUAAAUAACCAGUGGUAAACUGCCUGUCAGAAUGAUGGAGAGCCACUUGAUUCCCAUUUCCUUCUCUAGGGCACAGACUCUCACCUCAUUGCCAGGCUGGCAGGUCAUUCGUCCAGGCAUCAUAUGGCUAUAAAACCAGUGGUAUUCUUUUUAUUUGAAAUGGGGUGGUAGUAGUGGUGGUGGGGAGACAUAAAUCCUAAGUGGUUCACACAGGAUGCAAAGUGACACAAUUUGUGUGUAUGUAAGAGUGUAUAUGAGUUUGGGGGUGGGAGGGCCUUAUUUUGGGAGAAAAUUCUCCCAAAUGUUGGAGUAUUGGGGGCAAAAAUUCUGUUACUCUGAACAAUGUCUGCAUAACAGUGAAAAUCAGAGGACCGUAAGUAUUGAAAAGUACUGCCAAAAUAAUGGGGUUUGAAGGCAGAUGUGUAUUGAAAAACCCUGAAUGAGAAUAAGGGUGCUGCUGAAUCAGGAGGCAGAAAGGAGGGACUUUCAGCUGGUUCACAUGGAAGAGAUAUGAAAUGCUUUAGACAGUCUGGAAAGGUAGGAAGCAGAUGUGAAAUGAACAGGGGGCAACCUGUUGAGAGCUGUUUUGAGAACUGAGAGAACAGACAUCUCAGUAUGCCUCAAAUAUUGAGCUAGAAAAGAGGCAGCCUAAAGGAGCAUCUAACACAAGCCAAAACAAAACCAAAAUACCUUAAAUCAAGCCCAAAAAAAAAAGACAACAGGAAAGAACCUUCCUCCUGGAAAUAUAAAUGUGGUAGAGGGGUUAAUGAUGGUGCUGUAUAUCAGGAAUGGAAGGUAGGAGCAGCAGGAUUCAGAAUUCUUGGAGUAGAGGUUGAGUGAAGAAGUCAGCUCACUAAAGGGAACUAGAGUAAUGCUUGCAAGGACCUUGUCUGUUUCACAUGCUGGUUGUUCCAUGGUGGCAGAAGUGGGAUCUGAUGUUCUACAUCUUGCAUAACUAAAAAGGUAGCAUGCACUAAACUUGGAAAGAUCUUAAAUCUGUACCCUGAAAAUUAUCCCACAUUCGUGGAAAAAUUAGUAUGCCUAUUAGUAUUGUCACCAUGCAAGAACUGCACUGGCAAUGAAGACAGUGAUGUAAGAAGACAGAAGUGAGUCCAGACACAGGAUCCAUUGUCUAAGCAACUGAUGGGAGAAAUGGCUUCGUGACUGUCCUGAGGCAAUGGUGGUGAGGCAGGAAUUAAACACCUCCCAGGGAUGAAAUGGUGUCACCUUGUAUUGUGUUUCACCUUAAUUAUCUCCAUGAGAACUUCACACAUGUAUUAAAAAAACCCAACAUGACACAUUCGUAAGGUAGUUACUAUCUGUUGCAGAAUUUCAUGUAUUAUAUUUGUGCCCUAAGUUAGCCAUUAUUAUCCCAAUUUUAUAGUUAAGGGAAUGGAAACUCAAAAAACAUAUGGCUUGCUUACAGAGCUACACAACUUGUGGGAGAGGAGCUGGGAUUGGGACUCCAAUUUUGGGACUCUGUGUUCAUCAUGUUUUUUGGUCCCCCAUGUUCCCCUUCUUUAAAUGACUGAGUACAUGUCAUUUCAAAAACUUGUGGCCUUGGGCAAUGGCAGGCAGAAUAGGAAGUAAAUAUGUCUCAUUUUCCCUUUGUGAUUUCUCUAUGGUUCCAUAAAGAAAUAAACACAUUUAAAAGGUUAGCCAUUUGCCUUUGCCUGAGUAAAGUAUAAAGUUUUUUAAAAAAGCAUUUCCAGUUAUUUUGUGUAUUAAUCUAAUGAUGGUAGUCCUCCAGCUCUUGGGAAGGAA
rnacentral:lncRNA from 1 species